rnacentral:rRNA from 1 species
AACGAACGCUGGCGGCAGGCCUAACACAUGCAAGUCGAGCGAGGACUUCGGUCCUAGCGGCGGACGGGUGAGUAACGCGUGGGAACGUGCCCUUUGCUACGGAAUAGCCCCGGGAAACUGGGAGUAAUACCGUAUGUGCCCGAGAGGGGAAAGAUUUAUCGGCAAAGGAUCGGCCCGCGUUGGAUUAGGUAGUUGGUGGGGUAAUGGCCUACCAAGCCGACGAUCCAUAGCUGGUUUGAGAGGAUGAUCAGCCACACUGGGACUGAGACACGGGCCAGACUCCUACGGGAGGCAGCAGUGGGGAAUCUUAGACAAUGGGGGAAACCCUGAUCUAGCCACGCCGCGUGAGCGAUGAAGGCCUUAGGGUUGUAAAGCUCUUUCAGUGGGGAAGAUAAUGACGGUACCCACAGAAGAAGCCCCGGCUAACUCCGUGCCAGCCGCCGCCGUAACAC